rnacentral:pre_miRNA from 1 species
UGUGGAAUUGUUGGGUUGUAAGGUAAUUCUUAAGUUUGACUAAUUUUGAGGAACUGCCAUACUGUUUGCCAGAGUAGCUGUACCACUUUACAUUCCACUAACAAU